rnacentral:rRNA from 1 species
UACGUAGGGGGCAAGCGUUGUCCGGAAUCAUUGGGCGUAAAGGGCGCGUAGGCGGCCAUCUAAGUCAGAUGUGAAAUCCCUCGGCUCAACCGAGGAACUGCGUCUGAUACUGGAAGGCUUGAAUCCGGGAGAGGGAUGUGGAAUUCCAGGUGUAGCGGUGAAAUGCGUAGAUAUCUGGAGGAACACCGGUGGCGAAGGCGGCAUCCUGGACCGGUAUUGACGCUGAGGCGCGAAAGCUAGGGGAGCAAACGGG